rnacentral:rRNA from 1 species
UCGGGAAUAUUGCCCAAUGGACGAAAGUCUGAGGCAGCAACGCCGCGUGCGCGAUGAAGGCCUUCGGGUCGUAAAGCGCUUUUCGGGAGGAUGAGGAAGGACAGUACUCCCGGAAUAAGGAACGGCUAACUACGUGCCAGCAGCCGCGGUAAAACGUAGGUUCCGAGCGUUAUCCGGAUUUACUGGGCGUAAGGCGUGUUCAGGCGGCUCAGCAAGUCGGGCAUGAAAUCUCUCGGCUCAACCGGGAGGGGCUGUCCGAAACUGCUGGGCUUGAGGGCAGUAGAGGGUGGUGGAAUUCCGGGUGUAGUGGUGAAAUGCGUAGAUAUCCGGAGGAACACCAGUGGCGAAAGCGGCCACCUGGACUGUACCUGACGCUCAAACACGAAAGCUAGGGGAGCGAA